GACAGAGGAUGCAAGCGUUAUCCGGAAUGAUUGGGCGUAAAGCGUCUGUAGGUGGCUUUUCAAGUCCGCCGGUCAAAUCCCAGGGCUCAACCCGUGGGCAGGCGGUGGAAACUACCAAGCUGGAGUACGGUAGGGGCAGGGGGAAUUUCCGGUGGAGCGGUGAAAUGCAUUGAGAUCGGAAAGAACACCAACGGCGAAAGCACUCUGCUGGGCUGACACUGACACUGAGAGACGAAAGCUAGGGGAGCAAAUGGG
rnacentral:rRNA from 1 species